AGUGUUGCCAAAGAAUAAGAUGCGAUUAUCGCUUAAAAGGGAAUCCGGUGUGAAUCCGGAACUGCCCCCGCAACUGUAUGUGCUGACGAAAUGAACAGUCCACUGUAUAAGAGAGCUCCAAAAGGGUGCUUAUAUGGGAAGGGUUCAGAGUAGAGUGACGCACAAGUCAGGAGACCUGUCUUAUUUUUUGUUUUCAU
rnacentral:ncRNA from 1 species